AUGCAGGAUCACUGUGCAUGGGCCACAUUCUUCCAGGAGAGCAAAGAUUCAGGAGCUGGGCAAGUUCUUGGAGCUCCUGGGAUGAAGAGGGGGACAGGGAAGACGUGUGUGUGUGUGUGUGUGUGUGUGUGUGUGUGUGUGUGUGUGUAUGCAUGUGUGCAUACAUAUGUGUGCAUGCAUGUGUGUGCAUGUGUGUGUGUACAUGCGUGCAUGCAUAUGUGCAUGUGCCUUGUGUUGCGUAAGUGUGCUUUGGUGGCUAGAGCAAUCAAGUUCAAUGUUUUAAGUCUUCCCUUGUGUAAACAGUACAGGGGGGCCACCUCCCCUUGUCACAGUCUCUGUGAUUAUAAAACAUGAAUCUUUGAUAAGUUCAGCUUUCUGGGAAGGCAGGCGGAUUUGGAGCCAAAGGACUGUCUGUGUGCUGUUAUCUUGGUUCAUAUCAAGUCCAGAGCUGACUGAAGGCCUCAGCGUCUCUCAGUUCUAUGGGAAGGGCCAAGUGAGUCCUCGGGUCCCUGCUCAGUGCUGUUGUGGAGUUGUGUGGCGGUCCCUGCCACUUUGGUGGCUGUGGUGUUCUGAAAGACGAUUUUGGGUUAUCAUUGUUGCUUCAUGGUUUUUUUAAAAAAAUGUAUCUGCCCUAUGUUGAGAAAUAAAAAGCUCUAUUUUGGUCUAUGA
rnacentral:lncRNA from 1 species